rfam:Polysphondylium pallidum PN500 unplaced genomic scaffold PPL_scaffold2, whole genome shotgun sequence.
CAAAUGGUGUUUUUUAACACCACCCAUACACAAAGAAUCAUCUUU